AUACGUAGGUGGCAAGCGUUGUCCGGAAUUAUUAGGCGUAAAGCGCGCGCAGGUGGUUCCUUAAGUCUGAUGUGAAAGCCCCCGGCUCAACCGGGGAGGGUCAUUGGAAACUGGGGAACUUGAGUGCAGAAGAGGAUAGUGGAAUUCCAAGUGUAGCGGUGAAAUGCGUAGAGAUUUGGAGGAACACCAGUGGCGAAGGCGACUGUCUGGUCGGUAACUGACACGGAGGCGCGAAAGCGUGGGGAGCAAACAGGAUUAGAUACCCUGGUAGUCCACGCCGUAAACGAUGAGUGCUAAGUGUUGGGGGGUUUCCGCCCCUCAGUGCUGCAGCUAACGCAUUAAGCACUCCGCCUGGGGAGUACGGUCGCAAGACUGAAACUCAAAUGAAUUGACGGGG
rnacentral:rRNA from 1 species